GACGGGGGAUGCGAGCGUUAUCCGGAAUGAUUGGGCGUAAAGGGUCCGCAGGUGGCCCGGUCAGUCCGCUUUCAAAGCCUGGGGCUCAACCCUGGAGAGGCGGCGGAGACCACCAGGCUUGAGUCCGGUAGGGGCAGAGGGAAUUCCUGGUGUAGCGGUGAAAUGCGUAGAGAUCAGGAAGAACACCGGUGGCGAAAGCGCACUGCUAGGCCGUAACUGACACUGAGGGACGAAAGCUAGGGGAGCGAAUGGG
rnacentral:rRNA from 1 species